rnacentral:rRNA from 1 species
CCUACGGGCGGCAGCAGUGGGGAAUAUUGCACAAUGGGGGAAACCCUGAUGCAGCGACGCCGCGUGAGCGAGGAAGUAUUUCGGUAUGUAAAGCUCUAUCAGCAGGGACGAAAAAAGACGGUACCUGACUAAGAAGCCCCGGCUAACUACGUGCAAGCAGGCGCGGUAAUACGCAGGGGGCAAGCGUUAUCCGGAUUUACAGGGUGUAACGGGAGCGUAGACGGCAAGGCAAGCUAGAAGUGAAAGGGCAGGGAUCAACCCUGGACCUGCUUUUGGUACUGUGGUGCUAGAGUGCAGUAGUGGUAAGUGGAAUUCCUAGUGUAGCGGUGAAAUGCGUAGAUAUUA